AUUGAACGCUGGCGGCAGGCCUAACACAUGCAAGUCGAACGGUAACAGGAAGCAGCUUGCUGCUUUGCUGACGAGUGGCGGACGGGUGAGUAAUGUCUGGGAAACUGCCUGAUGGAGGGGGAUAACUACUGGAAACGGUAGCUAAUACCGCAUAACGUCGCAAGACCAAAGAGGGGGACCUUCGGGCCUCUUGCCAUCGGAUGUGCCCAGAUGGGAUUAGCUAGUAGGUGGGGUAACGGCUCACCUAGGCGACGAUCCCUAGCUGGUCUGAGAGGAUGACCAGCCACACUGGAACUGAGACACGGUCCAGACUCCUACGGGAGGCAGCAGUGGGGAAUAUUGCACAAUGGGCGCAAGCCUGAUGCAGCCAUGCCGCGUGUAUGAAGAAGGCCUUUCGGGUUGUAAAGUACUUUCAGCGGGGAGGAAGGCGAUAAGGUUAAUAACCUUGUCGAUUGACGUUACCCCGCAGAAGA
rnacentral:rRNA from 1 species